CUGAAAAGCGUUACAAAACAUCUUUAACCCGAUAAGAUAAGCGAGUUGUUAUCACGAUGUGAUUUAGUCGAAAAACAGCGAAUGAAUUUCUUGGAAUUGUCUGAGACAUGAUUAGAUUGUGACCAUAUCAUAAUAAACCUGAACAAUAAUUGUCAAUUCCAAUGAAUUUACCAUUGGUAAUUGCUAAUGCAUACAUACCUAAGACAAGGAUAUUAUUGUACAAGAUGGUAUCAGGAUUCCACGUUCAUAGAAUCAGUAAACAUGUUCUGGAAGAGAAACUGAUUAUCUAGGUGGAGCUGAGGAAUUCGUAAUGCAGCAGAGAAGAUGAUUUUAAAGACUGAGGUUGGUCUCACACGAGCGAUUGCGGUUCUGCUAGCGAAGAAUAUUUUCAGUUGGGAAUUUUACGGUGUUAUUACGCCAGCAUAUAGAAGGAAUCUGUAUAGGAUAUGAUAAUCAAAGAUAUUCCUGAGGUAUGUCAGCCAAAAGAGAUUCACCCUUGUAGUAUCGCCUCCCGUUUCUGGUUUAUUACAGUUUAUUGGCUGCGAGACGUCGACUCCCAGGACGAUACUCUAACGUUGCAUGACAUCGUUAAUCAGCUCUUUUUGCUCCACAGCCCAAUCUAUUACUCACCGAGCGCUAUUAUGUUUUACAGUUAGGUUAGGCCAAUCUUGAGCGUCGACCUAAAGAUAUUACUGCUUUCAGAAGGAUAUACUCUGAGUAACUGGUUGACAAGCAUCCAUCUAGGAGUACGAAUAGCUUCCCCAGGAAUCUCCGUGCCUGGAAUCGAAUGCGACUCAGAAAUAAAUCGGCGUGGGUUGUACAGGACUAUUUCCACCACGUCCCACACAGCAUUCCGUCUUAGGAUAGCCUAUCCAACCAGGUUGACUUUCGAGCUCGACCACGCGGAAAGUCGUUGGAGGCCUUCUCGGGACGACCAUCAUGCUGUAACCUAAAUUCUUAUAUCAAUCUGCUAAAUAACGCGUACAUGAUAAAUUCCAAUGUACUGACUACUUUCCGUUAUAUCGAUGUAUUCAAAGGAUUCCCAAGGUGUCAUUAAGUAAAAUUUUGUCUCAGAAAUAUUUAAUUCAAAGGUAUAUUCACUUUAUACUUACUAAUGAAAUUUCUUGUAUACGUAUCAACAGGUAAUUACUGGGAGUUUCAAACGAAGGCUAAAUACUUUUUGUGACGCCCUGUAUUUCCACAUUGUUCAGGCAAACAGCUUCAACCGCAGAAAACAGUCUGUACCGGCCAGACACCUUUCUAUCCUUGUGGGCCUGCCGUGCGAACAGGAGUUACCGGUUGGAAUACCCCUACCCACGUAUCACAGCGGCCCGGAUAGGUGUUUCCCGGCUUCGCCGGGACACACGCUAGAUGUCUGCGUGAGGUUGCUCGCCUUGCACGACCUCGCCACGUCACGCAUAUAUUUCACCUGUGUAUACGUACACCCACCAUGCUAUCUAUAGUAUAUUUAAUGAAUAACGUCUGUGCUAUAUAUGUAUAUAUAAAAGUCAAGAUAUAUCCACAUACUGGUAUAUAAAGGAACUAGAGGUAGGCACACGUGCGCCCACACGAUAAAGAGAAACGACCAAUGGAACAAAGUGAAACGGAUCCGUAGUACAAUAAAUCAGGGUGAGGCAGAACGAGAAAAUGCGGAGCUAUAUUUUUGGUGAAAUUCAAAAUUUUUCGGCUCACUGACUUAAGGUGAGUUUAUCAAGCCGUCCAUGCACUGCCGGAAGUCUUCUAGUUCUUUCGGUAGAGAAGUCUGAAUGAAAUGCGAAAGUGAGUGCCAGCCAUGUGCAAUCUCUCUGGCAGUCCAAUCUAAGUGGAACUUGGCUAUGUUAAAAGGCGCGCCAUGUUAGAGACUAUCAGAUAGUUCCAUACUCUGUCUAGAACGUGGAUUUCGUCGAGUGAGGUUCCCGAGGACGAAGCCUAGUCUCUGGAGUCCCUUCUACGAGAGUCACCCCCUAAUCACUUAGCAACCAACGUUACACGAGACGAUAAGCCCUUUUCACGUAGUCGUCUUCUCUUCUCUGUCCCCGGAUGUAUCUUAAUUGGGGCUUAAAUUAAAGAGACUCCCUGCGGAAGAGAUCGAUCGAUCAAUUAAUUUCCUCAGGGUGUGGGCCACGACUAUGUGAUUGCAAAUCAUCUACCAGUGACUUCUGAACCGUCUCGGGUUACUCUUUCAAAGAGAUGCGAAUCCAGAAUAGAUGUAUUAUUUAUUCAUAUCAUGACCUAACUGUCCAAUAGGUCAGGUAUACAUAGACUAUAUACGACCCAAGGUAGAUAAUCCCAGUAGAUGAAAGUGUCUUAUCCUGGUAGGUUCCUGAAAGAGAUUCUUAAUGGUAAAAGCUGCUACUCGGAUUCCCUAGGGAGACAAACCCCAGACAGCGCCACCUGAUGCAUCAGGAUAUACUGCGCGUGGAGAAGUCUUUCCCGGGUUGAUCCCUUUUCAUCCCGGAAAAUGCUGGGGUGGAAAACCAUGCUCGAAAAUCCCGGGCAAGCGUAUCAGGAUGGCAGAGCACGUAGCGAGAACGUUCUUCCUGGAGCAAUAAUUCGUCUCAGAGCUACCUAGGGAAUUGCGAAUGGAACGUCUCUCGUUUCUGGGUAUCUUCAGAGCGACGAAAAAGGAUAGUACACACUACAACGUAGCGUAACCCAGGAGGGUGUGGAAGUGAAAGGGAUCUUCCGUGUUCCCACAAGAUUUUUUUUCCUCGGCAUAUUAUCCUCCGGAGUCCAUCAGAAGAGGAAUUGGUUAAAAAUUUUCCGGAGGAAAUGAGAUUCUAACGAAAAAUUCAAGCGGCCCUUUAACAGGAGAAUAACACCGCGAGAAGCAAAGUCUAUUCCCAAUUCUGCAGUUCCCGUGGGAAGAUUGACGGUUACUAACCUUGCCAGAGAUUUUCCCGGAAAGGCGACGUUUUCGUCCCGAAAUGCGGCACGCCGUGAGCAGGCGCUCAGAACCGGAUUGGUACUCUUGCCACGACCUAGUGCAACCCUCAUCCAGGCACAAGGUCCAUGCUCGCUGGAGGAAAUUGCAUUGACGGGAAUACGAAUUUCCACAGGGACUAGGAAGACAUGCGAUGCCGGUAGGAGGAAAACUGGGAUAGGUGGUUUUCUAUCCUGCAGGAUAGUUUUCCUGGGUCGAGCUACUCAGAUUUUUCACACGGUCCACCCAGUGUACUUAUCUACACACUUAUAUAAAAUGUGGAAGCUGUCAUUCUCUUUCAACGUUUCCUGCAAGAAUGGCAUCCGCUAUUUCCGGAAACGGUGAGGUGGAAUAGAACAUAAUCCUACUUGAGCAACG